ACACUGCUGACGAGUCCCAAACAGAACGAAACAACUGUCCACUGU
rnacentral:hammerhead_ribozyme from 1 species